AGAAAAACAACCAGGGGAACUUGACUUGAACUGGGAGUGGAGCAGGAUAAGUACAAGUUAAGUCCCUGUUAUGGUUACGCUGGUGAAAAGAGACAAUGGAUGAAUUUUAAAAAAAGAAGUUGCAAAGUACAGCUUAGAUUUGCACGGCUGCCUGCUAACAGCAUGAACAAAAUAAUAUGGAGAUCAGUGAAAAGUCAACCAGUCUCAUGUGGCCUUGGAUCUGGUUAUUCACCUUCCUCAGCACUUGAAUAUUACCUAAAACUCAACAACAUAUAGUUAGAGAUCAACUCAGGCCUAAUUCCUGUGGGUUUUGUAACAUGGAUCUCAUACUCAGAUAGCUGCAAGCACAAUUUGAGAAUCCAGCCCAGGAUCACAUGUUUUGUUUAGUCAUCAUUGUCUCCCUUGAUACAGAACAGAUUUCUGAAUUUUCAUUGUCAUUAGUGGCAUUGACAAUUUUGAAGAAUAAAGGCCAGCUACUUUUAGAAUGUUCAUCACUUUGGGUUUGUCUGACAAUGUCACAUCUGAAGAUGACAUCAGUUGGUUUUUGAAUCUCAAAUCAUCAUUGCAUCUCAAGAAUAAGUGCAUUUUUGGGUGCCUGGGUGGCUCAGCUGGUUAAGCGACUGCCUUUGGCUCAGGUCAUGAUCCUGGAGUCCCAGGAUCGAGUCCCAC